UGCAGUCGAACGAACCUUCGGGUUAGUGGCGGACGGGUGAGUAACGCGUGGGAAUCUGCCCUCAGGAGGGGGAUAACGGCCGGAAACGGCCGCUAAUACCCCAUAUGCCGAGAGGUGAAAUGAAUUUCGCCUGAGGAUGAGCCCGCGUCUGAUUAGCUAGUUGGUGGGGUAAUGGCCCACCAAGGCGACGAUCAGUAGCUGGUCUGAGAGGAUGAUCAGCCACACUGGGACUGAGACACGGCCCAGACUCCUACGGGAGGCAGCAGUGGGGAAUUUUCCGCAAUGGGCGAAAGCCUGACGGAGCAACGCCGCGUGAGGGAUGAAGGCCUCUGGGCUGUAAACCUCUUUUCUCAAGGAAGAAGACAUGACGGUACUUGAGGAAUAAGCCACGGCUAAUUCCGUGCCAGCAGCCGCGGUAAUACGGGAGUGGCAAGCGUUAUCCGGAAUUAUUGGGCGUAAAGCGUCCGCAGGCGGCCUUGUAAGUCUGUCGUUAAAGCGUGGAGCUUAACUCCAUUUAAGCGAUGGAAACUACAAGGCUUGAGUGUGGUAGGGGCAGAGGGAAUUCCCGGUGUAGCGGUGAAAUGCGUAGAUAUCGGGAAGAACACCAGUGGCGAAGGCGCUCUGCUGGGCCAUAACUGACGCUCAUGGACGAAAGCCAGGGGAGCGAAAGGGAUUAGAUACCCCUGUAGUCCUGGCCGUAAACGAUGAACACUAGGUGUCGGGGGAAUCGACCCCCUCGGUGUCGUAGCUAACGCGUUAAGUGUUCCGCCUGGGGAGUACGCACGCAAGUGUGAAACUCAAAGGAAUUGACGGGGGCCCGCACAAGCGGUGGAGUAUGUGGUUUAAUUCGAUGCAACGCGAAGAACCUUACCAGGGUUUGACAUCCUGCGAAUCCCUUGGAAACGAAGGGAGUGCCUUCGGGAGCGCAGAGACAGGUGGUGCAUGGCUGUCGUCAGCUCGUGUCGUGAGAUGUUGGGUUAAGUCCCGCAACGAGCGCAACCCACGUCUUUAGUUGCCAGCAUUGAGUUGGGCACUCUAGAGAGACCGCCGGUGAUAAACCGGAGGAAGGAGUGGAUGACGUCAAGUCAUCAUGCCCCUUACAUCCUGGGCUACACACGUACUACAAUGCUACGGACAAAGGGUUGCAAGCUCGCGAGAGUUAGCUAAUCCCAUAAACCGUGGCUCAGUUCAGAUCGUAGGCUGCAACUCGCCUACGUGAAGGAGGAAUCGCUAGUAAUCGCAGGUCAGCAUACUGCGGUGAAUACGUUCCCGGGCCUUGUACACACCGCCCGUCACACCAUGGAAGUUGGCCAUGCCCGAAGUCGUUACUCCAACCCUUG
rnacentral:rRNA from 1 species